AUCGAACGCUGGCGGCAGGCCUAACACAUGCAAGUCGAACGAGUGGCGGACGGGUGAGUAAUGUUUGGGAAACUGUCUGAUGGCGGGGGAUAACUACUGGAAACGGUAGCUAAUACCGCAUACUAUCGGAUGUGCCCAGAUGGGAUUGGCUAGUUGGUGGGGUAACGGCUCACCUAGGCGACGAUCCCUAGCCGGUCUGAGAGGAGGACCGGCAAACCGGGAACGGGAACACGGUCCGGACUCCUCGGGGGGGAAACGGAGGGGAAUAUUGGACAAUGGGGGAAACCCUGAUGCGGCAAGGCGGCGGAGAUGAGGAAGGCCUUGGGGUUGUAAGGUACGUUCAGCAGGGAGGCGUUACCCGCAGAGAAAGCACCGGCUAACUCCGUGCCAGCAGCCGCGGUAAUAC
rnacentral:rRNA from 1 species